CGUAAAGCGCAUGCAGGUGGUUUGUUAAGUCAGAUGUGAAAGACCCGGGGCGUCAACCUCCGGAAUUGCAUUUGAAACUGGCAAACUAGAGUACUGUAGAGGGGGGUAGGAAUUUCAGGUGUAGCGGUGAAAUGCGUAGAGAUCUGAAGGAAUACCGGUGGCGAAGGCGGCCCCCUCGGACAGAUACUGACACUCAGAUGCGAAAGCGUGGGGAGCAAACAGGAUUAGAUACCCUGGUAG
rnacentral:rRNA from 1 species